rnacentral:rRNA from 1 species
GAUGAACGCUGGCGGCGUGCCUAAUACAUGCAAGUCGAGCGAACAGAUGAGGAGCUUGCUCCUCUGACGUUAGCGGCGGACGGGUGAGUAACACGUGGAUAACCUACCUAUAAGACUGGGAUAACUUCGGGAAACCGGAGCUAAUACCGGAUAAUAUAUUGAACCGCAUGGUUCAAUAGUGAAAGACGGUUUUGCUGUCACUUAUAGAUGGAUCCGCGCCGCAUUAGCUAGUUGGUAAGGUAACGGCUUACCAAGGCAACGAUGCGUAGCCGACCUGAGAGGGUGAUCGGCCACACUGGAACUGAGACACGGUCCAGACUCCUACGGGAGGCAGAAGUAGGGAAUCUUCCGCAAUGGGCGAAAGCCUGACGGAGAAACGCAGCGUGAGUGAUGAAGGUCUUCGGAUCGUAAAACUCUGUUAUUAGGGAAGAACAAAUGUGUAAGUAACUAGGCACGUCUUGACGGUACCUAAUCAGAAAGACACGGCUAACUACGUG